AGCUCCAAUAGCGUAUAUUAAAGUUGUUGCGGUUAAAAAGCUCGUAGUUGGAUCUCGGUUUCGGUCGAGCGGUGUACCUUGCGGUAUUUACUGUUUGACCGGACGAUUUUAUUGGUUCGUGUAUGGUUCUCUUAACCGAGUGCCAUGCGUGGCCAGUACGUUUACUUUGAAAAAAUUGGAGUGCUCAAAGCAGGCGCUACAGCCUGAACAUUAGUGCAUGGAAUAAUAGAAUAGGAUCUCGGUUCUAUUUUGUUGGCUUUCGGAGUCGAGGUAAUGAUUAAUAGGAACAGACGGGGGCAUUCGUACUGCGACGUUAGAGGUGAAAUUCUUGGAUCGUCGCAAGACGAACUACUGCGAAAGCAUUUGCCAAGAAUGUUUUCA
rnacentral:rRNA from 1 species